rnacentral:lncRNA from 1 species
CCCUCCUUCGAGGACCAGGAAGAAUUCUGGAGCUUUGGGCCCUUCCUUUCUGGCUCUGAUUCUACCGCCAGGCUCGACGCCCCCAGAAGUGCAGGUGGCGUUACCAAAGGCCGGCUCAGCCAGCUUCCGGCCGCCGCUGUCCCCCGCACCACCCACAGCCGGAAGCCGGCUGCCGCGCGGCAUCCCGGGAGGCUCCGCUUGCCCCGCCCCACGCCGGUGCGCCGCGGGCCUCUGGUCCGCUGCCGUGUUCGGCCCCGCCCGUCACGUCUAGCUGGGGCUCGCCCGGCGCCUUCCUGGACGCAGACGUAUGAGUCCCAACUCCACCCAGUCCGGCCUGGCCUCUGUCCCCGGGUGACCGCGGAAUGGGGGGGCGGGAGCUAGCGAGCAGGCCCUCAAGCGCGUCUGGCCGCCUCCUUUGUCUUGAUGCCCACGUCUGGUUAGGACCCCUGCUGUCCAUUUUAUUAAAGGAGCUGUAGAAAGCGGCCUGGGGCCCAGCGACCUGCCCAGGGCGGACGAGGAGGCGCGACUGGCCCGAUGCCGCAGGCUCUCUGCCCAGUGUGCUCAGGUGGGAGGGCGGGGACAUGAAUCGAGCCACAGAGUGCCCUGGGCACGGACCCCCCGCCCCCCCCGGCCCCGGGCCCCGAGCCCCGAGCCCCGAGCCCGGCCACCGAAGCCCGUGCCACUCGCCAGCUCCUGCGAGACGAGCCUUUCGAGCGCAGCUCAGGCAUUUGGUUCAGGGUCCUACUGCCGGAGUCGUCUGAGGCCUCCAUCCGUCUGUCGUCACGAAAAAGGUUUUGGGGGGACUAAUAAGCACUUCCUGAAUGCACAUUUGCUCCACGCCCCUGCUGUAGGGAGAGGGUCUGCAGACACUUCAACAAAUAGAAUCCUAGGACCUUACCUGAUCGUAUUGUAUAAAAUGGAUGAAAACAGAGCUAUUGGGUUUGAAGCACUCCUGAACCCUCUCAUGGAACCCUAUGUCUUCCUGGAGUCUACAGAGCUAUUGGGUUUGAAGCACUCCUGAACCGUCUAGUAGAACCCUAUGUCUUCCUGGAGUCUACAGAGCUAUUGGGUUUGAAGCACUCCUGAACCGUCUAGUAGAACCCUAUGUCUUCCUGGAGUUUACAGAAAAAGAGACUCAGGGAUUUUCCCAAAGCACACUGCAAGUUAGGGGCAGGAAUGACAGCCCAGACCUUCUGGUUUCCAGUCCAGGGCUCAACUGCCUAAACAGUGGCAUCUCUUCAGGCAGGCCCUGUCAGAGGCAGCUCCCAAGUUGUGAUGUUGCCACCAGUAUUAGAACACAGUGGUCUCCAAAAUCUUGCCAAUGAAUCCUCCAAGGUGCGUACCAAGUUCCGGAAUAACUGAAAGAACAUCACAUACACAGGCUGGGUACAGUAGCUCACAUCUGUAAUCCCAGCACUUUGGGAGGCCGAGGUGGGAAGACUGCUUAAGGCCAGGAGUUCAAGACCACCCUGGGCAACAUAGUGAGACCUUGUCUCUACCCUCCUCCCCAACCCCCCCCAAAAAAGCACCACCUGUCAAGGAGAAUGGCAUGGCGACAUGGCUGAAACACAGAGCCUUAUCUAAAGACCCACAGGGCUAGAAUGGAGAAAGAACUCUCAGAACAAAUUUCAGAUAGGUAAAAAACCUGGUAAUGUCAGUAGAAAAUGAGAAACAAAUAGUCUGGCUUCCUUCAAGGACUAAAGGACCUGAGUUACUCCCAUACAAUGGUGGAGAGUAGAGCCCACAAGAUUACUGAAUAGCAGAGAUCUUUGCAAUGAAUGCCAGCUUCCAGUACACACUUCCACAGGAAAGUGAAGGUUAAUCUAGCUUAAUUCAGUGCUUUAACUCCUCUAUACCUCUGACAGGAGAAAGAAAACCAGGCUACACUGGAAGUUAAAUCUCAGUUGGACUUAAACUUUUUCUAGUUUUCUUUUUUUUUGGAGACGGAGUUUCACUCUUGUUGCCAGGGCUGGAGUGCAAUGGCACAAUCUCGGCUCACUGCAACCUCCGCCCCCCGGGUUCAAGCAAUUCUCCUGUCUCAGCCUCCCAAGUAGCUGUGAUUACAGGCACCUGCCACCACACUGGCUAAUUUUUUAUUUUUUUUUAUAGAGACGGGGGUUUCACCAUGUUCGCCAGGCUGACCUCAGGUGAUCUGCCCGCCUCGGCCUCCCAAAGUGCUGGGAUUAUAAGCGUGAGCCACCGCACCCGGGACUUUUUCUAGUUUUCAACAUUGUUAUCUAUACAUCCUCAAGUGUAAGCUGUCACAGGAAGAAAAAUGUGUCUUUUUUUUUUUUUUUUUUUUUUUUGAGACAGUCUUGCCCUGUCACCCAGGCUGGAGUGCAGUGGCGUGAUCUCGGCUCACUACAACCUCCACCUCCCGGGUUCAAGCAAUUCUCCUGCCUCAGCUUCCUGAGUAGCUGGGACUACAGGCACCUGCCACCAUGCCUGGCUAAUUUUUGUAUUUUUAGUAGAGACAGGGUUUCACCAUAUUGGCCAGACUGGUCUUGAUCUCCUGACUUUCUGAUCUGCCCACUUCGGCCUCCCAAAGUGCUGGGAUUACAGGUGUGAGCCACCGCGCCCGGCCAAUUAUUUCUUUCUUUCUUUCUUUUUCUUUUUUUUUUUUUUUUUUUGAGACGGAGUCUUGCCCUGUCACCCAGGCUGGAGUGCAGUGGUGCGAUCUUGGCUCACGGCAAGCUCCACCUCCCAGGUUCACGCCACUCUCCUGCCUCAGUCUCCUGAGUAGCUGGGACGACAGAUGCAUGCCACUACGCCUGGCUAAUUUUUGUAUUUUUAGUAGAGGCGGAGUUUCACCAUGUUGGCCAGCUGGUCUCGAACUCCUGACCUCAGGUAUCUGCCUGCCUCGGCCUCCCAAACUGUUGGGAUUACAGACAUGAGCCACCGUGCCUGGCAAAAUGUGUAGUUCUUUUACAUGGGCAAGUUUCUACUAUUAAAAAAAAAAUAACCAUGACAGGGCAUCCUAAGUAGCCUAGUUAGCAGUGGCAGCUACUGCCCUCAGUAGCACGUCAUAAGCAAGAGCAAAGUAAACAUCCAAAUAAAAUGAAUUAAGCCAGCUUGCCACAGCCUAGCAUUGCAAGUCUACAGUAUGCAAUUUCACAUGUCAAAUCAGCAAGAAAAUUCCUAAAGUCUUUAGCUAAAAUUACAGUAAUUAAACAACUCUUUUGAUAAGCACUUGAGUAAGAACCCCAGAUAUUCCUGAAGAAACUGUGUUACAGCUCAAAAGAAUUUAGGAGCCUAGUGUAGUAAGGCCCGUUGUAUUGCCUGACUUUUACUCAGGGCUCAACCCAGUUUCAAGCCUACUUAAUAAUUCGUAUCCCAAGAAAGCCCUUAUUAGCCUCUUUGCUAGCUGAAUAAAUUCUAACUCCACCAUGGCUUCUGUGGAGGCCCAGGCUAUGAUAUGUUGCAGAAAUAGUGUCUGAGGACAAAGAACAGAUAAGAAAGUUAAACUCUGCAUAACCCAUUCAGUAAUGUGUAAUGAAAAUAUCACUCUCAAAAGUGGAAGUCUCCCCUUUCUUCUGAAGGGCAUUAAGGGAUACUCAUGGCUCAGCAAAUUCUGAAGUAGAAAUUGUCACAGUGCUGUAGGUGGAAGAGACUCAACAAUGCCAUCAUGAAAAAAACUUCUGGAAUUAUUCACAACAGUAAAAUUAUGACCAACUUACAGUCCUAGGAGAUGGAUUGCAGAAAUCUUUAAGACCAUCCAUAAGAAAUGGCUUUCAAACUUAUUUGAAAUCAAUUUGACAUCACAACCCACUUUUCAUACAUGUAUAAACUGAAAUUGGUUUCACAAAGUAUUAUUUCCCUUAUAACAUGCUACAUAUUUUCCCUUCUAUUAAAAAAGUUGGCUGUCACCCAUGAAGUUUGUUACCAGUUGGUCAUGACUAGAGGUUAAAAAGCACUGAUCAAUUGCUGUAAUCUUAAAAAAAAAAAAAAAAAGGCAACAUAACACAGUUGCUAAGAGUACUAACUUUGAAGUAGGACUGCCCAGGUUCAAAUCCUGACACCGCUACUUGGCUAUGAAGCCCAAGUCCUAGGUCAUGUCACUAACUUCGGUGCUUCAGUUUCCCCCUCCAGAAAUCAAGAGAAACCUUCUAAUAAAACUUUGUUAUCAAACUGAGUUUUAUUUGUGAGGAUGCCUAAAAAACAUGCCUAUUAAGAAGUGAAGAUGCUGGCCCCAAGAUUCCGUGUAGCUUGCCAGUGAGUGGGAAGAUUGGCCCGGGACCCUGGCUGAUGGCCUUUCCACUAUAUUGCAGCAUUGAGCAUGCAAAUAACAUUGAUUAUAUAAGGGCCUUUGGUGUAAAGCAUGUAAAAUAAAUGUGACAAGCAAUGCUGGAUGAUAAAUGCUUAUUUCCUUACUUUCAGAAAGUAACUAGAGGGCUCAUGCCUUAAAAAAAAAAAAAACUUACCAGAUAAAUAUGAACUAAAGCCUUCAUUUUCUGAGUGGCAAGGAAAAAAAACAAUUUUCAUUAAGAAUUCUUUUUAAUUUAGCCAGUAGAGAUUGAGAUUUGGAGUUAUUUGCCUCUGAUUCUUGUCUAGUUUCAGGCCAAACACUAGCUAGUUGCUAGGACCUUGGCCAAGUCUGCAGUCUCUUUGGGCUCAUUUCUAUAAUCGUAAGAUGAGAGUUAGGCCCAGGAUGUUGUAACACUGCCCCUUUUGAGGUUUUCCCCAAAGGGCAAAACUGACAGACUAAGGGGAAAGUCAAAGAAAAGAAAAACAAAAAUCAUCUCCAAAGAUGCUAGAAAAAAAAAAAGAAUAGCGUUAUUUACUUGCCAUAGUAAGGAUGGUGAAGUACUCACAGCAGGCAAUAGUGGCACAGAAAUUAACUUGGUAUGGCGUCUUGAGUUCAACCUCUAGUUGGCUACCUAAUAGACACGUACAUAAAUGUUUUUGUUUUAGGACAGGGUCUCACUCUAUCACUGGGGCUGGACUGCAGUGGUGCAAUCACAGCUUAUCACAGCCUUGACCUCCCGGGCUCAGGUGAUCCUCCCACCUCAGUCUGGCAAGCAGCUGGGACUACAGGCGUGCAUCACCAUGCCUGGCUAGUAUUUUUGUAGAGGCAGGGUUUUGCCAUGUUGUCCACUGGUCUCAAACUCCCGGGCUCAAAAGAUCCACCUGCCUUGGCGUCCCAAAGUACUGGGAUUAUAGGCGUGAGCCAUGGCACAAGGCUCACAUACAUAACUUUGAGCUAAUAAUUUCAUUUCUUUUUUUUUGAGACGGAGUCUCGCUUUGUCGCCCAGGCUGCAGUACAGUGGUGUGAUCUCAGCUCACUGCAAGCUCCACCUGCCGGGUUCACGCCAUUCUCCUGCCUCAGCGUCCCGAGUAGCUGAGACUACAGGAGCCUGCCACCAUGCCCGGCUAAUUUUUUUUGUAUUUUUAGUAGAGACGGGGAUUCACCGUGUUAGCCAGGAUGGUCUCGAUCUCCUGACCUCAUGAUCCGCCCGCCUCGGCCUCCCAAAGUGCUGGGAUUACAGGCGUGAGCCACCACACCCAGCCAUAAUUUCAUUUUUUUCUGAUCAGAUGUUCUGUCACUUAAGGGCACUUGAGAUGAUUAAAUAUGAAUGUGCAUAGUACAUGACCAGGUAUCCAAAAAGACUUCAAUAAACCUUGGUUCCUUCUAACUAAAAGGGCUGUAUAAACAUGCUAAGGUGUUAUAAUUUUAGGGGCAGUUUCCAGCAUUUCCUCCCGGGUAUUAUUACUUGCCACCUCCAAAGCAUUAGCUCUGAAGGCAUAACCUUUUCUUUUUUUUUCUUCUGAAAGAGACAGGGUCUCUUUGCAUUGCUCAAGCUGGAGUGCAGUAGCUAUUCACAGGCAUGAUCAUCAAGCACCACAGCCCCAAACUCCUGGGCUCAAGUGAUCUUCCUACCUCAGCAUAGCUGGGACAACAGGGUCAUGCCACUGCACCUAGCUGGCAUAGAAAUUUUUUUUUUUUGAGACACUGUCUCAUUCUGUUGCUCAGGCUGGAGUGCAGUGGCACACUGCAGCCUCAAUCUUUCGGGCUUAAGCAAUCUUCCCACCUCAGCCCCCUGAAUAGCGAGGACCACAGGCGUGCACCACUAUGCCCCGCUAAUUUUUGUAUUUUUUGUAGAGAUGGGUUUUGCCAUGUUGCCCGGCUGGUCUCAAACUCCUAGGCUCAAGCAGUCCACCCACCUCGGUCUCCUGAAGUGCUGGGAUUACAGGCACGAGCCACAGUGCUUGGCCAGCAUAGCCACUUUAAAAUGAAGUGUGGGUUAAGGAGUAAACUGGCAAGUUUGCCCCAAAUUCGAUUUCAUGAUGAUCUUGACAUCUACACAGUGGUGUCACUUAACAGGAGUAUGUUCUGAAAAACGCCUCGUUAGGCGACUUCAUCGUUGUGCAAAUAUCACAGGAUGUACUUACACAAGUACAUGGCAGAGCCUACUACACACCUAGGCUAUGUAGUAAAGCCUAUAUUCCUAGGCUACAAACACGUACAGCACGUUACCGUACUAACUACUGUAGGCAAUUUCAACAACACUAAAUAUUUGCUGAACACAAAAGAUACAGUAAAAAUCACUGCUGUAUAUGCAGUUCUUGCUACACGUAAACUGUUUAGCUAAAUAACAUUAAUUCCAGAGAAGGCAAAGCUUACCAAAUACAAAUUCUACAUGGGAGAGUGAUAGAGAUAUAAGGCAGAAUAAAACAUGCAAAAUUGCAGUCAGGCGCGGUGGCUCACACCUGUAAUCUCAGCACUUUGGGGGGCCAAGGUGGGCAGAUCACCUGAGGUCACAAGUUCAAGACCAGCCUGGCCAACAUGGCGAAACCCCAUCUCUACUAAAACUACAAAAAUUAGCCAUGCGCGGUGGAGGGCACCUGUAAUCCCAGCUACUCAGGAGGCUGAGGGAGGAGAAUCGUUUGAACCCGUGAGGUAGAGGCUGCAGUGAGCUGAGUUUGUGCCAUUGC